UUUCUUUCGCAGAGGCAAUAUCGUAGCUCAAUGAGGUUUAUCCGAGGCGUGAUCAUUGCUGGUUGAAAACUUUACCCAAUACCCCGCCGAGAUGACUUGAAAUACAGUCAACCUUGGCAAUUUUUGCUCGUCUCUUAGGAGG